ACUCCUACGGGAGGCAGCAGUGGGGAAUAUUGCACAAUGGGCGCAAGCCUGAUGCAGCCAUGCCGCGUGUAUGAAGAAGGCCUUCGGGUUGUAAAGUACUUUCAGCGGGGAGGAAGGCGAUAAGGUUAAUAACCUUGUUGAUUGACGUUACCCGCAGAAGAAGCACCGGCUAACUCCGUGCCAGCAGCCGCGGUAAUACGGAGGGUGCAAGCGUUAAUCGGAAUUACUGGGCGUAAAGCGCACGCAGGCGGUCUGUCAAGUCGGAUGUGAAAUCCCCGGGCUCAACCUGGGAACUGCAUUCGAAACUGGCAGGCUAGAGUCUUGUAGAGGGGGGUAGAAUUCCAGGUGUAGCGGUGAAAUGCGUAGAGAUCUGGAGGAAUACCGGUGGCGAAGGCGGCCCCCUGGACAAAGACUGACGCUCAGGUGCGAAAGCGUGGGGAGCAAACAGGAUUAGAUACCCUAGUAGUCCCA
rnacentral:rRNA from 1 species